rnacentral:rRNA from 1 species
GGGUUGUGAGGUUAAGCGACUAAGCGUACACGGUGGAUGCCCUGGCAGUCAGAGGCGAUGAAGGGCGUGCUAAUCUGCGAUAAGCGCCGGUAAGGUGAUAUGAACCGUUAUAACCGGCGAUACCCGAAUGGGGAAACCCAGUGUGACUCGUCACACUAUCAUUAACUGAAUCCAUAGGUUAAUGAGGCGAACCGGGGGAACUGAAACAUCUAAGUACCCCGAGGAAAAGAAAUCAACCGAGAUUCCCCCAGUAGCGGCGAGCGAACGGGGAGGAGCCCAGAGCCUGAAUCAGCAUGUGUGUUAGUGGAAGCGUCUGGAAAGGCGCGCGAUACAGGGUGACAGCCCCGUACACAAAAGCGCAUGUGCUGUGAGCUCGAUGAGUAGGGCGGGACACGUGGUAUCCUGUCUGAAUAUGGGGGGACCAUCCUCCAAGGCUAAAUACUCCUGACUGACCGAUAGUGAACCAGUACCGUGAGGGAAAGGCGAAAAGAACCCCGGCGAGGGGAGUGAAAAAGAACCUGAAACCGUGUACGUACAAGCAGUGGGAGCACCCUUUGGGGUGUGACUGCGUACCUUUUGUAUAAUGGGUCAGCGACUUAUAUUCUGUAGCAAGGUUAACCGAAUAGGGGAGCCGGAGGGAAACCGAGUCUUAAUUGGGCGUUAAGUUGCAGGGUAUAGACCCGAAACCCGGUGAUCUAGCCAUGGGCAGGUUGAAGGUUGGGUAACACUAACUGGAGGACCGAACCGACUAAUGUUGAAAAAUUAGCGGAUGACCUGUGGCUGGGGGUGAAAGGCCAAUCAAACCGGGAGAUAGCUGGUUCUCCCCGAAAGCUAUUUAGGUAGCGCCUCGUGAAUUCAUCUCCGGGGGUAGAGCACUGUUUCGGCUAGGGGGCCAUCCCGGCUUACCAACCCGAUGCAAACUGCGAAUACCGGAGAAUGUUAUCACGGGAGACACACGGCGGGUGCUAACGUCCGUCGUGAAGAGGGAAACAACCCAGACCGCCAGCUAAGGUCCCAAAGUCAUGGUUAAGUGGGAAACGAUGUGGGAAGGCCCAGACAGCCAGGAUGUUGGCUUAGAAGCAGCCAUCAUUUAAAGAAAGCGUAAUAGCUCACUGGUCGAGUCGGCCUGCGCGGAAGAUGUAACGGGGCUAAACCAUGCACCGAAGCUGCGGCAGCGACACUCAGGUGUUGUUGGGUAGGGGAGCGUUCUGUAAGCCUGUGAAGGUGGCCUGUGAGGGUUGCUGGAGGUAUCAGAAGUGCGAAUGCUGACAUAAGUAACGAUAAAGCGGGUGAAAAGCCCGCUCGCCGGAAGACCAAGGGUUCCUGUCCAACGUUAAUCGGGGCAGGGUGAGUCGACCCCUAAGGCGAGGCCGAAAGGCGUAGUCGAUGGGAAACGGGUUAAUAUUCCCGUACUUGGUGUUACUGCGAAGGGGGGACGGAGAAGGCUAUGUUGGCCGGGCGACGGUUGUCCCGGUUUAAGCGUGUAGGCUGGUUUUCCAGGCAAAUCCGGAAAAUCAAGGCUGAGGCGUGACGACGAGGCACUACGGUGCUGAAGCAACAAAUGCCCUGCUUCCAGGAAAAGCCUCUAAGCAUCAGGUAACAUCAAAUCGUACCCCAAACCGACACAGGUGGUCAGGUAGAGAAUACCAAGGCGCUUGAGAGAACUCGGGUGAAGGAACUAGGCAAAAUGGUGCCGUAACUUCGGGAGAAGGCACGCUGACAUGUAGGUGAAGUGAUUUACUCAUGGAGCUGAAGUCAGUCGAAGAUACCAGCUGGCUGCAACUGUUUAUUAAAAACACAGCACUGUGCAAACACGAAAGUGGACGUAUACGGUGUGACGCCUGCCCGGUGCCGGAAGGUUAAUUGAUGGGGUCAGCGCAAGCGAAGCUCCUGAUCGAAGCCCCGGUAAACGGCGGCCGUAACUAUAACGGUCCUAAGGUAGCGAAAUUCCUUGUCGGGUAAGUUCCGACCUGCACGAAUGGCGUAAUGAUGGCCAGGCUGUCUCCACCCGAGACUCAGUGAAAUUGAACUCGCUGUGAAGAUGCAGUGUACCCGCGGCAAGACGGAAAGACCCCGUGAACCUUUACUAUAGCUUGACACUGAACAUUGAGCCUUGAUGUGUAGGAUAGGUGGGAGGCUUUGAAGUGUGGACGCCAGUCUGCAUGGAGCCGGCCUUGAAAUACCACCCUUUAAUGUUUGAUGUUCUAACGUGGACCCGUAAUCCGGGUUGCGGACAGUGUCUGGUGGGUAGUUUGACUGGGGCGGUCUCCUCCUAAAGAGUAACGGAGGAGCACGAAGGUUGGCUAAUCCUGGUCGGACAUCAGGAGGUUAGUGCAAUGGCAUAAGCCAGCUUGACUGCGAGCGUGACGGCGCGAGCAGGUGCGAAAGCAGGUCAUAGUGAUCCGGUGGUUCUGAAUGGAAGGGCCAUCGCUCAACGGAUAAAAGGUACUCCGGGGAUAACAGGCUGAUACCGCCCAAGAGUUCAUAUCGACGGCGGUGUUUGGCACCUCGAUGUCGGCUCAUCACAUCCUGGGGCUGAAGUAGGUCCCAAGGGUAUGGCUGUUCGCCAUUUAAAGUGGUACGCGAGCUGGGUUUAGAACGUCGUGAGACAGUUCGGUCCCUAUCUGCCGUGGGCGCUGGAGAACUGAGGGGGGCUGCUCCUAGUACGAGAGGACCGGAGUGGACGCAUCACUGGUGUUCGGGUUGUCAUGCCAAUGGCACUGCCCGGUAGCUAAAUGCGGAAGAGAUAAGUGCUGAAAGCAUCUAAGCACGAAACUUGCCCCGAGAUGAGUUCUCCCUGAGACUUUAGGUCUCCUGAAGGAACGUUGAAGACGACGACGUUGAUAGGCCGGGUGUGUAAGCGCAGCGAUGCGUUGAGCUAACCGGUACUAAUGAACCGUGAGGCUUAACCUUACAACGCCGAAG